rnacentral:lncRNA from 7 species
ACUCGCUUCUGAGGGCUUGCAACAGGGAGCUGGAAACCAUGCAGAAACAGAUCUGAGGAGAUGCUGCAGCUGAACCGUGCACAGAUGGACUAAUUAUUUUUAAGAAUCCUCUUUUAGAGCUUCAGCGAAAACAAAUCAGCUUUAGUGAACUGAAAGGGUGUUCCUGGUGCCCAGUUGCCCUCAGCUGGCUGAAGGGAGAAGUGCAGGCAAACGAAACAUCCCGGCGGAAGGGAAUCCUGCGCAGAGAACGCACACCAUCCUGAGUUGAAAAAGAACUCACACAGACCAUGGAGCCCAACUCCUGGCUCCCGACGGGGCCACCCCAAUUCAAAAGCUACUUCCGAGGCAUGGCAGAGUGACUGAGACUGUCCCCCUGGGAAGCAGCAUGACGGAGGAGCAGCUCUUCAUGUAGGUUGUUCGUCUGGGACUCCGCAUGGGACCUUCAUGCCGGAUGAAUUCCGAUAGUCACUAAGGAGUUCUUGUUGGUGCUCCCGAGCUCUGUGCAGUACCUGAGUAUGCCUGGGCUAACAGCAGCCAGGGUGUGACCUUAUGGGUCUUGGAGGAGAUACAUCCUUCAGUGCCCAUAUGGGCAGAGAGGUGCCAGAGUGCUUCCCUGGGCCACCACCGACGCUCAUACAGCUGCAGCAAGCCACAUGUAGAAACCGAAUCCUCGAGGCCUGCACAUAGCUUUCAACUGUCCAUGUGCUUCUCUUCCACUUGGUGUCUCUCUUUAGUCUCAAAUCUGGGGCUGGAUCUCCAGAAUUGCUCUCUUGGGGGAUGACUAUUUGUUGUUUGCACUAUAGAAGUACCCUAAAGUUUUAGUUCAGCUGCACAACUCCCUAGUGAACAGUAGUGCACACAACCACAAGACAUGAGACUCCCUUCCCCUCUCUUCCAGGUUGCGUAGCUUUGCUGUUCUCUCCCCAUACAUUUAAAGUGUUUAAGAAAUUAAAAUACUUACUUCGUCUGUGCUGUUUUCUCUUGAAAAUAACAGAUUUGUUGUCCAACUUAAUCCAGUUCACAUUACCCAUAAUUUGACUCGCCCUCUCACCAGUGCUGGAGUUUGCAGGCACACGAGUGAAGAACAAAGCAUUACUUCACUGCAUUCUAAAUAGCACUUUUUAAAGGGAUGAAUUCAAAAUAAUGUCAAAUAAAAAUGCAGUCUUUGUCCUUGGUGCAAACAAAGGAGAUGGGGGAGAAUUUAAGAGCACUGCACAGCACUGCUAAUUCUUCUGUGUAUUCCAGUGGAAAAUUCUGGGGAGGGAGGAGAGGUGAUUUAAACCUUCAGAAACCAAAAUGCAACAUCUCUGCGGCACAUUAGACCGAUGUGACAGGGAAAUCCAGAAGCUUGGCUUCCUUUUCAAUCCGUACCAAGCACAAGCCAGUUUUCAAUGAUAUAAGCUACCCUUAAACUCUCUGCUUUGAAACACUUCAGUUAUUUGCUGCCGCGCAUGGAAAACACUGCGGCUUGCAGCGUAUGUGCCUUAAUGCGCCUGAUUCACUCCCACUUCUGGACCUUUUCAGUUUUGCCAGUUCCUCUGAGAUUAAAUCUCUGAGAGAAAGUGGUCCAGAUCUAAUGCGUUUGGCAGUCCCCUCAAAUAAAAGCUCCUUUCU